rnacentral:rRNA from 1 species
GACGAACGCUGGCGGCGUGCCUAAAACAUGCAAGUCGAGCGGUAAGGCCUCUUCGGAGGUACACGAGCGGCGGACGGGUGAGUAACACGUGGGAAUCUACCCCAAACUGAGGGAUAAGCACCGGAAACGGUGUCUAAUACCGCAUAUGGUCUUCGGAUUAAAGCUUCGGCGGUUUGGGAAGAGCCCGCGUAAGAUUAGCUAGUUGGUGAGGUAAAGGCUUACCAAGGCGACGAUCUUUAGCUGGUUUGAGAGGAUGAUCAGCCACACUGGAACUGAGACACGGUCCAGACUCCUACGGGAGGCAGCAGUUAGGAAUUUUCCACAAUGGGCGCAAGCCUGAUGGAGCAACGCCGCGUGCAGGAUGAAGGUUUUCGGAUUGUAAACUGCUUUUAUGUGCGAAGAAUAUGACGGUAACACAUGAAUAAGGAUCGGCUAACUCCGUG